rnacentral:rRNA from 1 species
UACGGAGGAUGCGAGCGUUAUCCGGAUUUAUUGGGUUUAAAGGGAGCGCAGACGGGUCGUUAAGUCAGCUGUGAAAGUUUGGGGCUCAACCUUAAAAUUGCAGUUGAUACUGGCGUCCUUGAGUGCGGUUGAGGUGUGCGGAAUUCGUGGUGUAGCGGUGAAAUGCUUAGAUAUCACGAAGAACUCCGAUUGCGAAGGCAGCACACUAAUCCGUAACUGACGUUCAUGCUCGAAAGUGUGGGUAUCAAACAGGAUUAGAUACCCCCGGCUGACUGACU